GAUGAACGCUGGCGGCGUGCCUAAUACAUGCAAGUCGAGCGAACAGACGAGGAGCUUGCUCCCCUGACGUUAGCGGCGGACGGGUGAGUAACACGUGGAUAACCUCCCUAUGAGACUGGGAUAACUUCGGGACAACAGAGCUAAUACCGGAUAAUAUAUUGAACCACAUGGUUCAGUAGUAAAAGACGGUUUUGCUGUUACUUAUAGAUGGUUCCGUGUCGUAUUAGCUAGUUGGUAAGGUAACGGCUUACCAAGGCAACGAUGCGUAGCCGACCUGAGAGGGGGAUGGGCCAAACUGGACCUGAGAAACGGUCAAGCCUCCAACGGGAGGCGGCGGUAGGGAAUCUUCCGCAAGGGGCGAAAGCCUGACGGAGCAAGGCCGCGGGGGUGAUGAAGGUCUUCGGAUCGUAAAACUCUGUUAUUAGGGAAGAACAAAUGUGUAAUUAACUGUGCACGUCUUGACGGUACCUAAUCAGAAAGCCACGGCUAACUACGUG
rnacentral:rRNA from 1 species